GCAGUCUGCACCGUCUCUGAGCAGAAUUCUCCCACCUUUUUGAGCCACUGCUCUCUUCUCACUACUGUGCCCUGUCUUAGAUAAUGAUGAUCCCGUUGACCUGAAUCCCAGAAGGAUGAGAAACAGACUUUUGUUGAGAAAAUGACAUCAAUAUAAGGAAUGUCACUUUAUUUGCCCAGAGAUAUUGCAUAUGAUUCUGUACUUGAUGAAAUCCAAUGUUAUCACUGAAUCCUACUGUUCUAAAAUCUGAGGCCGCUUGCUGUCUGGAUGCUACAAGA